rnacentral:lncRNA from 1 species
AUGAGAAUAAAGGAGGAUGCUGAUCACCUGACGUCAUUGCCAGCUACCUCCAGCUGCCCCAUGCCAAUCAUCAAGCUGAAACCAACAGCCCUUCCCAAGUUUCUUGGAAAUAAACGAGACUUCCACAGAUGGAAGGAAUGGGAGGCUCUUCAGGGGCAGGCAGAGCCAUCUGGUUUGAAAGAGAUCAAAAAGUUUCAGCUACUUGAUAGUGUGGAUGAGAAAAUAAUGAGAGAACUUCGACUCACCACUUACAACACUGCAGAUGACAUCUUUCGUGUUUUGGAGAAUUGGUUCAGCAAUCAAACAUCAAUUGCUAUUGAAAUAGUGGAGGAGUUACCGAGAAUGCCAGCUGUUAAGAGCCACCAGCCAAGAAAAAUAGUGGAAUUAAUUCAAGCUGUGGAGAAGGCGCUUCAAGACCUGGUUGACCUUGGUGACACAGGGGCUAUAAAAAACCCAUUGGUGACAAAGUCAAUCGAAAGUAAACUUCCAGAAACACUCAAAAAGGAGUGGCUUAUUUAUGUUGCUGACAGUAGAAACACGGUCACCCCAGAAAAACGAUUUGAUAGUCUUCUGGAAUUCCUCAAAGAGCAAGAAACCAUAUAUGAACAGCUUGAUCAUCUGAGAGAGGAAGAGCCAAGUAAGCGAGAAAGAGUGGAGCUGAAACAUUCCAGAACCAAAUUCACCAAAUUAGGCAGUGAUGAAGGGUGUGUGGUCUGCGGUGAUGGAAAGCAUAAAAAGAAACUCUACUUCUGCAGGCAGUUUAAAACAUUGACACUUGCAGAAAAGAAGGCUGCAAUUAAGAAACUAGGGGCAUGCUGGAGUUGUCUCGAGGUUCAUGAGAAUGGGUCAUACUGCAAACCCACUUAUCUGUGCAAAAGCCCAGGCUGCAAAGAAGCGCACGCUGCAGAGCACCAUUACUACCUAUGCCCAAAUGCUGAGGUGAGGAAGGGAAGUGCAGCAGGGAGGCAGAACAGAUCUGAUCCAGAGGGAGGAAAGGUCAGCAGGAAAUGUACGGAGGAUCAGGAGGAGUUCCUCAGAAAACUAUCACCUGAACUGGCAAGAGAAUGCAGGGAUGCAUUUUCAAACACUGCAUCCAGGGCAUGCAGCACCACCAAGGAGCAGCCAAGUCUCCUAUUUGAAGGUGGGCUUCGAGAGCUGCCAGUAAUCAUGAUGCUCCUCGAGGUCACAGCUAAUGCUGGGCAAAAGAUUGGGACAUUAAUUGACCUGGCUUCUGACACCAACUAUAUAACCCACAGGGCUGCAAGUAGUCUUAACCUAAGAAGUGAAGAAAUCACUCUGGUUGUUCAUGGAGUAGGGGGAAUGAAAACGCAUGUGAAAACAAGGCGGUACCUUUUAAAGAUCCGAGUCAGAACGCCUAGAGGCACCCUUAGGUCACACCAACUGAUCUGCUAUGGACUCGACAGCAUAGCAGAAGUCCACAAGCAUGUCACACCGAGUCAGCUACAAAGGUUCUUUCCGGAUAUACCACUCGACGAUCUUGUAAGACCGAAAGACAUUCAUCUGCUUAUAAGUCAAAAAGAAGGUCGGCUAGCGCCUCAGAGGAGCAGAGUCAUCGGUGACCUUGUGUUAUGGGAUGGGCCACUUGGAAAGACAUUUGGGGGAACUCACCCUGAGCUCUUCGAGGAGCUUACUGUCUCUGCCCACAUGUCCAAGACACACUUUGCCAGGUCAAUGAGAGUGGCAGCUGUCAAGUAUGAGGAGCUCAUUGGCGAGGCCUCAGACUAG